AUCAAAUAUUCACGGAUGCAUUCCGCAAAUAAUAGAUGAUACAGUCUAGAUAUACGUGUCCAGUAUCAAUUAUGCAUUGAUACAUUCAUCAAAUAAAAACAAGUCACAUUCUUGUUAUUUUUCAAAUUCAGAUACAUAUUUCAGUAUUAAAUAUGCACUGAUACAUCUAUCAAACAAGGCAUCUGGUUUCUGUUCUUCGACGAGUUAACAGCUCUCUAGGAGAGGAAAUCAUUGCAGGAGCAAGAUUAUGGAGAAAAAGAUUGUAGAGGAGAUCUAGAGAGAAAAAAAUGAUGCCAGCAGAGGGAGAUUUGAAAAAAAAUAAUACUGCGAGAAAAGGAGAGAGGGAAAAAGAGAAAUUAGAAGAGAAAACAGAGAACACUAAGAUGAUUAUGAAGUAUAGAGAUGUUGGCGGUGACGAUAGGCGGUGGGCAACACCAUUGUUGCCGGUGAAACAAAUAAAAACUUUCAGAUCUGUAAAAUUCUUUAAAAAUCUUGAUUAUUAUGAAUGAAAAUAAAGCAGUUUAUUUGUAUU